GUCGUUAUAUUUUCUUCCUUCCAUUCUAUCUUUGGUCGACUCUGCGAGAAGAAAAAGAAACGAAAAAUUGUUGUGCGUUAUCUAAUUUUUGAAAGAAGGAGAAAGAAAAAGGAGAGAUGAGAAAAGACAAGAAAAUACGAAGAAACAACCAGUCUUUCCUAAUCAUCACACGAAUUCGUAAAUCGAUGGGGACCAUCGACGUGUCUUAGGAGUGUGUAUUUUUCUUUCUUCCUUUUUUUCUUUCAUUUUUUUUUUUUCUUUUCUUUUUUUCUUUUUCUUCGCCAAAGAAACAGCAGGACGAGCCAUAGCGAUGACGAAUCAGCUGAGCGAACACGAACACGUCGACCUUUAUCUUCAUUUCGAUCUUGAAUACGUACAUAUAUAAAAGUUAUCGUAGCAAGUCCCGUGACGUCGAUACAUGAGGAACACGUGCUGUGCUGGUUCGACUACGUAACGUAAUCGAGGUUAUUCCACUGGAGAAAAUUUCAAUCGUAAUAAAUCGACGAUCUCGUAAAAAGGAUCAAGAAGAAUUAUCGAAGUAAUAGAGUUGUGUUGCAUAUAUGUACAUGUAUGUAAAUAUGUACGGGAAGAGAAAAAAAGAAAGAGAGAGAGAAAAAAUUCGACACGUGUGAUCGUAAUCAAAAGAAAGAGAAGAUGGUACGGUUGGUAAAAAAUUUUUAGAUGGUAUUUAAAAAACAAUUAAGUACGCUCUUUCGAAACAUCUUAAAUUUGUAAUUAAUAUUAUAAUUUAACGAGUUAAUCGUAGUUUUAUAAUCUGAAAGAAAGAAAAAGAAGAGAAAAGAAGAGAAAAUUAAUUUGAGAAGCAUCGAAAAAUUGAUCUUUACGAUCACCUGUGAACUUUUAGCUCACCGUGUUGAUAGAUAUCUGAAGAAAAGCUUGAAAAGAUGCUACGAUCGUUUUGUGUGUGUGUGUGUAUUAUAUACUGAACAAGAACUUUAAAGGAAAUAAUGAUGUUUUUCUUCUCUUCUUCUUUUUUUUUUUUUUUUUGAUCGAUCGAUCGAUAGAUCGGAUCGUAAUAUUUCACGUAAGCUAAUAAUAAAAAAAGAAAGAAAAUGUGAAAGAAGAUAAGUAACGUUUGAAAAUAAUCAAGAGGUAUUAUGUUACAUGUAUUUAGAUACAUCUAUGUGUAUCUGCAGAUUGAAAGGAGUAAACUUUUAACGAUCUGUGUAUAUAUGUAGGUAACAUAAAUACAUGUAUUUACACAUUAUAGGAUACGUACGAGAAUCUGAUGCAAAUGUAGGUGCAAAGAGAAGGUAUAAGAAAAUUUAUAGACUGUGAGUAAUCUUGCAAA